UUAAAAGUACACACAUUAAAGUUUAAUGAAUGAAAAGUGGAGGAGUAAACAUUUUGUCAGUGGCAAUAGAUACGAUAGACACUACAUACAUUCAGCAUCACUGGGACUUCCAGUUAAAUCCCACCAUCACACCUGCGAUGGAACAUAACUAAAGCAACCGAAGUACCACAUCUAUAGGAAAUCGUUUUUGUGAUUAUUUUUGUUGUUGUUGCACAAGUUCAAUACAACAGAGACUGUCUUUCACAGUGAAAUGAUACUGAGUACAGUUCUCUGUCCAUGUAUUUAAGGGUUUCACACUAGACCAAAAGGAUCGGGCUGAAUUGCAACGAUCCGUAUCCAUAUUUGUGAAAGUCCUUUUUCUGAGAACUGUGAUGAACUGAUGUUGAAACCUUAGGAGGGAUAGAGCUAAAGGAUGAGAUGACACUUCAUCAAUAUCAUACAAUGUGGACACCUUAGGAAAACCUCAGGGGUAUACAAGACUAAGGGCUCUAUUCAAUCAGAUCUGCUUUAGCUGACAUCCGAAGAACGGUUGUUUUGGUGGUGUCGGAGGUGGAAUUGCGUUAGAGCUGUCAAAUCCACAAGCAGCUCCUGGCGUUAUACCUAAAGUGGACAUUGUCAUAGAGUACCACAGUAUGAGUCUUAAUACCCAUAAAACCUAGCGGUCAAACAAGGAAGUGGUUCCAAUCAUUUUCCCACCAUUCAUUUUUCCCAUAGGGGAGUUUAGAAACACUUCAAAUAAGGGCUGUGUUUUGUGUAAACUUUCCCUGAACAUCUCUGUAGGACAUGGUGACUUUUAUCAAUAUAUUCAGCUGUAUUUACCCCCCCCCCCCAAAAAAAAUGAACCACUAAUUAGCUGCUAAUGUGGCUAUCAUAAGGAACUACAAAUGCCAUGAUCUGGAUGAGACUGCCAAGUCGAGGCAAAGGUAAGGAUCUCUGGAUUUACUGUCUAAUGUUAGCUAAAUUUAGUAAUUAAUGAAUGGGCUACAUUUCUUUAAAAUUAGAAUUCUGUGAACUGUCUUGUGCAAGUUUUAAAUUGACACAAUGCCUGUUAGUAAAGGUGUCAGCCAGAGAUUACGUGCAGGAGCUUGCAGGGAUUCGUAGUCUUGCAUGAUGUCUACUUUGAUGCUAAUUUGCAUUUUGAUCUUGAGAGUAAAUAGACUAAUAUAUUGAUAAAAGUCACCUUGUCCUAGAGAGAUGAACAUGGUUAUCAAAAUGUCCCGCCAUGGUACUGUAUGCCUACACCAAACACAGCCCUUAUUUUAAGUGCUUUGAAAAUUCCCUAUGCGAAAAACGAUUGGAACCAUUUCCCUGUUUGACCACUAGGUUUUAUGGGUAUUAUGACACCUCCACUGUAGGGCUCUAUUGGCUGCACGGAGUCGCAUUAAGAGAAAUCCCAUGCAGCCUUGUUUACAAGUUUGAACAUUGGAAUGUGAUAUGUAAUCUACACCUCAAUUAGGCUGAGAGAAAUUCUAAUUUAGUUGAAUGAUUUUCAAUUAUUUCUAUAAAGCCUACACUUUCUCGUUCUGAACUUCUAACAUGAGUGGGACGGGUGUGGCUUCAUGACAAUGCUCCAACCCAGUUACACCUCCGACACCAUCAGCUAUGCCGGUUUCGGCUAUCGCCGGUGAGCACUUGAUCUGAUUGAAUCUAGACCAAGGUUAACAUGGUGGCAAACAUGGAGUCCACUGUAACAGGAUGCUCUGGGUAGAAGUUGCUCUUAAGCAGAUCUAGGAUCAGCCUUCCAAUCCCAAAGUUUGACCGUAAUCCCCCCCAAAUCUCAGUCAGUGUAUAGGUUCAACUUCAUCCUACUCCACAGUACUGUAGGUCUCCAUCCUGCUCCACAGUCCUGUAGGUCUCCAUCCUGCUCCACAGUCCUGUAAGUCUCUAUCCUGCUCCACAGUACUGUCGGUCUCCAUCCUGCUCCACAGUCCUGUAAGUCUCUAUCCUGCUUCACCGCCCUGUAGGUCUCCAUCCUGCUCCACAGUCCUGUAGGUCUCCAUCCUGCUCCACAGUCCUGUAGGUCUCCAUCCUGCUCCACAGUCCUGUAGGUCUCCAUCCUGCUCCACAGUCCUGUAGGUCUCCAUCCUGCUCCACAGUACUGUAG
rnacentral:lncRNA from 1 species